AAGCUGCAUCAAAUUGCAGGAUCUGAGAAGCUCAGUAUUGAAAAUAUGCAACUUUCUAGGAAAAGAACUAAAUGAAAAGGAGGUUGAUGAUGUGGUAGAUAAAGCUACAUUUGAUAACAUGAAAAUGGAUGCUAGAGCAAACUACAGAUUCAUCCCUUCUGAUCAGAUAGAUUUCAGCAAAGGGGACUUUCUUCGCAAAGGCACUAUUGGAGACUGGAAGAACCACAUGACUGUUGCCCAGAGUGAAAGGUUUGACCGUGUCUUUAAGGAGAGGA